rnacentral:rRNA from 1 species
GAUGAACACUGGCGGCGUGCUUAACACAUGCAAGUCGAACGGGAAACCUUUUAUUGAAGCUUCGGCAGAUUUAGCUGGUUUCUAGUGGCGGACGGGUGAGUAACGCGUGGGUAACCUGCCUUAUACAGGGGGAUAACAGUCAGAAAUGACUGCUAAUACCGCAUAAGCGCACAGGACCGCAUGGUCCGGUGUGAAAAACUACGGUGGUAUAAGAUGGACCCGCGUUGGAUUAGCUUGUUGGUGGGGUAACGGCCCACCAAGGCGACGAUCCAUAGCCGGCCUGAGAGGGCGAACGGCCACAUUGGGACUGAGACACGGCCCAGACUCCUACGGGAGGCAGCAGUGGGGAAUAUUGCACAAUGGGGGAAACCCUGAUGCAGCGACGCCGCGUGAAGGAAGAAGUAUCUCGGUAUGUAAACUUCUAUCAGCAGGGAAGAAAAUGACGGUAC